CAACCCCUCCGCGCAUGAUAGAAAAAAGAAAAGAAAAGAAAAUAAAAAACCCACAAGUACGCACGUCCCAACUCCCACCUCCCACUUCCCACUCCUUCCGCCAGAUCCUCGCUCUCGAUCCGGUGUCUCUGCAGAGACGAAUCGCCGCCGCCGGCCUAUUCCCGCCUACGUCGACCUUGAGCGGCAACACAAUGCAGCCAGACUUCUAUACUAGAUUGGAGCGGUGGAUCUACAUCUAUCUCUUCUUCACCGAGUCCACGAGGUACUCGACGUGGCAGGGGCGACGAACAGGAGCACCACAUCGACAGCAGCGACGAACGACGGCCCAGGUGUUGCCAUCUCCUUAUCUUCGAUCCAACCCAUCUUCCCCUCGUAUCCUGUACUCCCGCACCCCCUCAUUCUUCUCUCCCGUGGCAGGGACCGACGAGUUGCAACGGACGGGGGGCAGUCCGGCUGCUGGCGUAAAGGACGACGGGUGGUGGUAGGGCCGUGGGAAGAGCAGGUAGACGGAGAAGGUUGCCUAUGGAAAUCUGGCAAGUGGCAGCGGCAUACAGACCAAGCGGGAAAACACCAGAAAUAAAUUCAACUUGGGGAAGAGAAUCACGAGGAUGAACUCCUCGGCUGCUUCUAGCGUGUUUUGUGGUGGAGGAACAUAGAAAUCUCCGUUUCCUCAUUACUUUAUUCCGAUGGUUUAUUUGCCAUACGUUACAUUGGCGAGAGAUUGGCGAGAGGUGGGUUACCAGAAGGAGGCGACGUUAAAAUCAGUGCCAGUGACGACGAUGAUGGACACGAUGAGCUUGGUUGGCAGUGGCCGCCGCAACAGUGUUGUACUCGGAGCCCAUGCUAUCCGAGCUCGACAAUACGAACAGCUCAGUCCUUUUGCAGCCGUGUUCAUCGACAAGUUGUCCAUACAGUACCUUGGCAUCAACAACCACGGCCAUGAUAGCGGAGUUGUGCUGGCCGACAGCCCUGCUACCAUGCGCCGAGCAGUCUACUGAUUUCAGAAGACCGUGAGGACUGCUGGGCUCAAGGGGUUGAAUCGGGUUCACCACAUGUGGUGGCAACCUGGGUUGGCACUCAUCUUGGAGCACAAUUAAAUGGAAAUCAGUAGCAAAACCACAAUCUGCAUAGUGACUUCAAUGGAGGUGCACCGGAUGAACCGGAGGUGAUCAUUUUGGACUGCACGGAUUUGGACUAUGCACGGAUGUCCUAAUUCUGUUAGGUCCAAUGGGCCCUGCUUAAUACAUCAAACAACCACAUUUUUUCAUGCAUUAUGAUGACUGAUCCUUGUAAACUGCAUUACAUAUAAUAUUUAUAAAGCUCUCUUCUUGUAACCAUUGUAUAUGCAUAAUCGAAAACCAACCCUUAAUUAGUGGCACAAACACACUGACAUCCAAAGAAUGGAUUAAGUGCUAGGGAGAAGGGAGGGCGAAGAUGAAGGCUCUGCUAUGUAGGUGGCCUUGAUGUAACUAGAGCAUUCUUUGGUCAUGUUAGAGACUUAUUAGUGAUAGAGCAGUAAAUUAUUUUGUUAGGAUAA